AACGAACGCUGGCGGCAUGCCUAACACAUGCAAGUCGAACGAGACCUUCGGGUCUAGUGGCGCACGGGUGCGUAACGCGUGGGAACCUGCCCUUAGGUUCGGCAUAACUCCCCGAAUGGGGUGAUAAUACCGGAUAAUGUCUUCGGACCAAAGAUUUAUCGCCUUUGGAUGGGCCCGCGUUGGAUUAGCUUGUUGGUAGGGUAAAAGCCUACCAAGGCGACGAUCCAUAGCUGGUCUGAGAGGAUGAUCAGCCACACUGGGACUGAGACACGGCCCAGACUCCUACGGGAGGCAGCAGUGGGGAAUAUUGGACAAUGGGCGAAAGCCUGAUCCAGCAAUGCCGCGUGAGUGAUGAAGGCCGUAGAGUUGUAAAGCUCUUUUACCCGGGAUGAUAAUGACAGUACCGGGAGAAUAAGCUCCGGCUAACUCCGUG
rnacentral:rRNA from 1 species